rnacentral:rRNA from 1 species
UAUUGGACAAUGGGCGCAAGCCUGAUCCAGCAAUACCGCGUGUGAAGAAGGCCUUAGGGUUGUAAAGCACUUUCAAUUGGGAGGAAAACCUGCCGGUCAAUACCCGGUAGCUUGACAUUACCUCUAGAAGAAGCACCGGCUAACUCCGUGCCAGCAGCCGCGGUAAUACGGAGGGUGCGAGCGUUAAUCGGAAUUACUGGGCGUAAAGCGUGCGUAGGCGGUUCGUUAAGUCAGAUGUGAAAGCCCUGGGCUCAACCUGGGAACUGCAUUUGAAGCUGGCGGACUAGAGUUUAGUAGAGGGGAGUGGAAUUUCAGGUGUAGCGGUGAAAUGCGUAGAUAUCUGAAGGAACACCAGUGGCGAAGGCGACUCCCUGGACUAGAACUGACGCUGAGUACGAAA